rnacentral:rRNA from 1 species
GAUGAACGCUGGCGGCGUGCCUAAUACAUGCCAGUCGGGCGAACAGACGAGGAGCUUGCUCCUCUGACGUUAGCGGCGGACGGGUGAGUAACACGUGGAUAACCUACCUAUAAGACUGGGAUAACUUCGGGAAACCGGAGCUAAUACCGGAUAAUAUAUUGAACCGCAUGGUUCAAUAGUGAAAGACGGUUUUGCUGUCACUUAUAGAUGGAUCCGCGCCUGAUUAGCUAGUUGGUAAGGUAACGGCUUACCAAGGGGACGAUGCGUAGCCGACCUGUGGGGGGGUUGGCCCCCGGUGGAAGUGACCCGCGACCAUGGGCCUGAGGGGGGGCCCAGAGUGGGAAUUUCGGCAAAAGGGGGGAACCUUGCAGAAGGAGCGGCGGGGUGGUGAAGAAGGUCCGCGGGCCGGAAAACGUUUUUCGGGGGGAAAACCGAUUGUGUAAGUAACUAAGCGCGUUUGACGGGAACUUAUAAAGAAGCACCGGCUAACUCCGGG